UAUCUCUGUAGAGUCUGCAUAUCAAUAAGCGGAGGAAAAGAAACUAACUAGGAUUCCCUUAGUAACGGCGAGUGAAGCGGGAAGAGCUCAAAUUUGAAAUCUUCAAGGUUUUACCUUGACGAAUUGUAGUUUAAAGAAGUGUUUUCUGUUGGAUGUUUUGGUAAAAGUUCUUUGGAAUAGGACAUCAUAGAGGGUGAGAAUCCCGUAUUUGGUUAUUCAUUCUAGCUUUGUGAUACACUUUCAAAGAGUCGGAUUGUUUGGGAAUGCAGUCCAAAAUGGGUGGUAAAUUUCAUCUAAAGCUAAAUAUUGGCGAGAGACCGAUAGCGAACAAGUACCGUGAGGGAAAGAUGAAAAGAACUUUGAAAAGAGAGUUAAACAGUACGUGAAAUUGUCAAAAGGGAAGCGUUUGACACCAGUGUUGUUUUUUCGAAAAUCAAUUAAAAAAGGCAGGAUUUUGUGUUGUAUUGACCUUAUCAGCUUUCUUCACUUUUUUCGAGUCUUUCUUAAUGCACUUUUCGGUUAACAAGUCAACAUCAAUUUCUUUUGUUGUAGAAGAGUAUUCGGAAGGUGGCUUUCUUUUCGGAGAAAGUGUUUAUAGCCCUAUACUUCUACAAUCGGAGAGAUUGAGGUCUGCAGCGUAGAUCCUUCGGGGUUAGAUACAUUUGUGCUAAGUUAUAGCCUUUCAUAGACAACUUGUUGACUAUGAUCAGUCAUGUAGCUUACUCGCUUAUGCUAUUUUACCUACGCUUAGGAUGUUGAAGAUGUAGCACAUCAU
rnacentral:rRNA from 1 species